AAAAAAACGUAUUUCCCCCCCAGUUAGUUUAUUUUUGCAGUGCUCUUUAACUUCCUACUAAUCUGCUGAUUUACACAGAUGUAAUACACAAACCUUAGUGUUAGUUCAUUAAGAUUUUUUCUGAAACUCCAUCUCCUUACACAAACUGCUAAAAACUUCUUAAAUAGUACUUAAAUAGAUUUUUUUUUCAGGAUAAUUAAAUCUACUGAGGACCUCCAUUGUUAGUCAGCAUUAAUAAAUUCACCAGUGUUUGAUUUUGUCGUAGAUGUGGUGAAAUUUUAGGAUACACAUUCAUUUUCAAAAUGGACAGUAUUGAAAGAUCAUGUGGUUCAUGUGGUUGAGAGCAUUGUAUCUGCAACCACCACCUGUACUGCUGCUCUUCAAAAAGAUCGUUGAAAAAAUUGAGGAAGAUACAGUAUUAUACAUUCUUAUAAAACUUGCUGUCGGUUCUGAUGAAUGGAAGCAGGAGGAGGAGAUGAGUGUUUGUAUUCCUUCAGAUUGA
rnacentral:lncRNA from 1 species